CACGACUACAUUAGAUACCCCCGUAGUCCCAGCCCUAAACGAUGCGCGUUAGGUGUAUCGGUGACCACGAGUCACCGAGGUGCCGAAGGGAAACCGUGAAACGUGCCGCCUGGGAAGUACGGUCGCAAGGCUGAAACUUAAAGGAAUUGGCGGGGGAGCACAACAACGGGUGGAGCUUGCGGUUUAAUUGGAUUCAACGCCGGAAAUCUUACCGGGACCGACAGCAACAUGAAGGCCAAGCUGAAGACUUUGCCGGAUUAGCUG
rnacentral:rRNA from 1 species